ensembl:lncRNA
AUGGAACAAAAUAAAUGUUACCAUGAUUGUUUUUUUUUUAUUUUUUUAUUUAUUUAUUUUUUUACAGUGCACUCACAGAUUAACUGUCUUUUGGGAAAUUUUCAGCGAUUAAAAAGGUGUCACCAGCGUGUGGCGUUUCAAAACAGUGGAUCAUUUUGUGAAGCAAUCGACUCUUCACAAAGACCUGCCCUCCUUCGUUACUGUUGCUACAUAUGACCAGCCAUGGCGCUCUCACACCACACAUCAUGUUCUCAUGCAGUGAAAAACACAUUGUGCCAACAGACAAGACAGAGCAGGAUACUUCUGGCAUGAAACAAAGUCUCAGCUUUCCAAUCAUGUCAUUUUCUUUAAGAAAUUCAAAAAAUAAAACCUGAUUUGUGGCACUUUAAUGUGUCGUGACAGAUCGCUGUAGCAGCACGUGAACCGAUCAUCUCUUACUCUUUACUACUAGUUAUAGCACAAAAUAAACAUGAAUGAACAACAGAAGGAAUCUUGUUUAACCCGCAGAAAGACAUCAAUACACACCAUUUUUCAAAGUUCACUGACAUUAAUCUACUCUCCUUUCUGUUUUGUUUGUCAGACAAAAUAACAGAUUCUGCGUUAUGAUUGGACAGAUCGCCUGUCAUUCAAACUCCUGGCGAAGGGUCAAUGGGUUUGUUUUUAUGCAUGUUUGGCCUGAGUUUUGUUGUAUUUCUACUAUUUUGACCACCAGGAGUCACCAGCGUGUGGCGUUUUGAGCGCUUCAAACAGUGAGUCAUUUUUCGAAGCAACUGAUUCAAAAUCUCAAAAUUCUUAAUUUCUCCUGUCACUAGUUUUAGAGAACGAACACAGUAAUUAAUUCACUUACUUGUCAGACAAAAGAGAAGUAACUUGGGCAUCUCUUCUUAUCACUUUCUCUGUCGUCUAAUCUUUCCACCUUGUGUUUGUCAUACCGAUGUUUGUGCUCAUUCUUGUUUUUAUCGGUAUUUCUGUCUUCUGGCUUCAGAGCUUUUCUGCUUCUUCAUCUGUACAGGUACUGAUUCUCCCACUGUUGACACAUUUAUUUAAAACACUUUUUUAUAGAAAACUAUUAUAAGUGGAGUCUUCAUCUGAUGUGAAUGUACACCAUUCAGAUGACUCUUCACAAGCACAUUUCACGGGUCAAGUGCGUCUCACCUCUCCGAAGCCCUGGAACCAUUCUCUCUCAACAGGUUCUGCUCGAUCUCGUCUUUCAUCCACAUUCAUCUCAGGAUCUGACAGGAGCAGCUCUGCAUCCAUAUGGCACACAAGGACUUGAGUGUGUGAGAGAAAGAGAGUGAGAACAGAUUGUUGUGGGACCUUCAGUCCUGCCCUGUGAACCUGAUGCCACAAUCACCAGCAGGAGAGCAAAAGCACUGCUGAUAGAAGGGCAGAUGACACACACACACACACACACACACACACACACACACACACACACACACACACUCCAAAAUUAACUUUUGACACAUCUGCCAAUGGCUGGAAUUAUAGUUACUCGUUUAGAAACACUUUUAUCCAAAGUGACAAAUGAGGACAAAAUGAAUUGACUAGCACCUGCUGAUAUAAAUGAAUAAAUAUUAUAUGUGUAAAAUAUACAAUACAGCUUCAUGAAAAGUAAAUAUUUGAUAUAUAGCACACAGAUAUAUUUUUAAAAGAAGUCUCUUUUCUGCUCACCAAGGCUGCAUUUGAUUAAAAAUAAGGUUAAAACAAUAAUUAUUGUGAAAUACAUUUUUAAAAGUAAUUUUAGAAAUUUUUGAUUAAUAUGGGUUUCAAAGAAGAACAUUUAUUUGAAAUGUAAAUAUUUGGGCUCAAUGAUUUGUUUUUGAAAAGAUAUAUAUAUAUAUAUAUAUAUAUAUAUAUAUAUAUAUAUAUAUAUAUAUAUAUAUAUAUAUAUAUAUACAGGUCCUUCUCAAAAAAAUUAGCAUAUUGUGAAAAAGUUCAUUAUUUUCCAUAAUGUAAUGAUAAAAAUUAAACUUUCAUAUAUUUUAGAUUCAUUGCACACCAACUGAAAUAUUUCAGGCCUUUUAUUGUUUUAAUACUGAUGAUUUUGGCAUACAGCUCAUGAAAACCCCAAAUUCCUAUCUCAAAAAAUUAGCAUAUCAUGAAAAGGUUCUCUAAACGAGCUAUUAACCUAAUCAUUUGAAUCAACUAAUUAACUCUAAACACCUGCAAAAGAUCCCUGAGGCUUUUAAAAACUCCCAGCCUGGUU